rnacentral:lncRNA from 12 species
CCUGUGCAGUUGGAAGGGCCCGGCCAGGAGGAUUUCCGAGAGCUUUCCCAAGGUGGUUGGAUCAACACACAUUUAAUCACUUUCUGUUUUCCCUGGGGCUGAGCCCAGUGCUGCUGAAAUAAGCGCUAAGUAAGGAACAGGGAGCCACAUGCAUGGGGUCCCCAGGGCUGCUAUGCCUCCGCAAACACAAACAGAACCUCAGAGACUUUCCCCUGGGCAAGCCCCCAACCCAAGCCAGGCCAAGCCCAACCUAACCCCUUCAUGCUGAACUCCCCCUACUUCUGUUCUUUGUCACUUGACUCCACCUUUCACACUCCAGCUCACCCACCGCUGCCCAAACCCAACUAACUGAACCCAACUGGAAGUCAUGGUGUCCACCCAGCCAGCGCACGGUGUACGGUGAAGCAGGCUGUGCCCUGAAGGUCUUGGCCCAGAGCCUUGGUGUAGGUCUGUGCCAAGAGGCUAUUAAGCCCUUGUUGCCCUUGUGCUGCCACUGGAGAAGGUUCAAGGACCACAGAGAAGGAGAGAGAGGAAGAGGGAGCGUUGGAGACAGAACCACAGCGUCAUAUAGAGAUGCAGAGACCGAGAGAGACAAGGAGAGACAGAAGAUCCCGGUGUCCCUGCUGCUCGUCCGGAACGCCACCAGGCUAAGGGAUCGUCCUGUACACCAUGGGCCUUGCCCUCCAGCGGGGUCUGGGCUGAGUCCACCCCAGGCACUGUCGGGUGAGUGGCACCUCACCUCCCGCCCCCGAGCCACGUGCGUGGUGCAGGUGUGGACUCUGGAGCCAGACUUCCUUGGCUGUAGGAUGGGAAUAACGACGGGCACGCUGCCCAAGACUGGUAAGGAGAAGCGGAGCGGAGCUUGCUGGCGACUGAGGAGAACCAGGGAGGUACAGAUUGUCAGAGUGGGAGGUGGUGGGUGAGAGCCAGGGCCGCGGUGCCCGGAUUCCAGGGGGGGCUCUUCUCUCCCAGCUGGAUGCUUUAGCCAAACCGCUAUUCACACAACAGACACUUAUUGAGCGCCUACUGUAUGCCAAACCCCGUCGCAGGCGCUGAUGGUGCAGGAGCAAGACGGGCCUAGCCCUCUCGGAGCUGCCCUUACAGCUCUCGGAGUCGGGCUGGAGCUAAAG